rnacentral:tRNA from 1 species
UACUUAUUAUUUGAUUAUUAUGACUGGAAUAAAAAUAAACAAUUUCGAAAUCGAAAUGAUUAAUAAAAAAUUUCUAUGGAAUUU